rnacentral:rRNA from 1 species
AGUGAACGCUGGCGGUAGGCCUAACACAUGCAAGUCGAACGGCAGCACAGUAAGAGCUUGCUCUUACGGGUGGCGAGUGGCGGACGGGUGAGGAAUACAUCGGAAUCUACUUUUUCGUGGGGGAUAACGUAGGGAAGCUUACGCUAAUACCGCAUACGACCUACGGGUGAAAGCAGGGGAUCUUCGGACCUUGCGCGAUUGAAUGAGCCGAUGUCGGAUUAGCUAGUUGGCGGGGUAAAGGCCCACCAAGGCGACGAUCCGUAGCUGGUCUGAGAGGAUGAUCAGCCAAACUGGAACCGAGACACGGUCCAGACUCCUACGGGAGGCAGCAGUGGGGAAUAUUUGACCAUGGGCGCAAGCCUGAUCCAGCCAUACCGCGUGGGUGAAGAAGGCCUUCGGGUUGUAAAGCCCUUUUGUUGGGAAAGAAAAGCAGCAGGUUAAUACCCCGCUGUUCUGACGGUACCCAAAGAAUAAGCACCGGCUAACUUCGUG